GCCUACGGGGGGCAGCAGUGGGGGAUAUUGCACAAUGGGGGAAACCCUGAUGCAGCGACGCCGCGUGUGGGAAGACGGUCCUCUGGAUUGUAAACCACUGUCCCCAGGGACGAAGAUGACGGUACCUGGGGAGGAAGCUCCGGCUAACUACGUGCCAGCAGCCGCGGUAAUACGUAGGAUGCGAGCGUUAUCCGGAUUUAUUGGGUUUAAAGGGUGCGCAGGCGGCACGGCAAGCCGGCGGUCAAAUCGCGGGGCUCAACCCCGCCCAGCCGUCGGAACUGCCGGGCUAGAGUGGGCGAGAAGUG
rnacentral:rRNA from 1 species